rnacentral:rRNA from 1 species
UACGUAGGGUGCAAGCGUUGUCCGGAAUUAUUGGGCGUAAAGAGCUCGUAGGCGGCUUGUCGCGUCGUCCGUGAAAACCUGCAGCUCAACUGCAGGCUUGCGGUCGAUACGGGCAGGCUAGAGUUCGGUAGGGGAGACUGGAAUCCUGGUGUAGCGGUGAAAUGCGCAGAUAUCAGGAGGAACACCGGUGGCGAAGGCGGGUCUCUGGGCCGAUACUGACGCUGAGGAGCGAAAGCGUGGGGAGCGAACAGG